rnacentral:lncRNA from 1 species
CUUUCUUGAAUUCCCGGUUUUAUUUAUUUAUUUUUUUAAAUUUUUAUUUAUUUAUGAUAGUCACAGAGAGAGAGAGAGAGAGAGAGAGAGAGAGAGGCAGAGACACAGGCAGAGGGAGAAGCAGGCUCCAUGCACUGGGAGCCUGAUGUGGGAUUUGAUCCCGGGUCUCCAGGAUCGCACCCUGGACCAAAGGCAGGCCCCAAACCGCUGCGCCACACAGGAAUCCGAAUUCCCGGUUUUAAAUGGACUUUUUCUUGAUUUUGCCUUCACUUGAUCGAUGUAAGCUUUUUGUUUUUUCAGAGUUUUUACAAUACUGGUUUUGACAAUUUUUGCUUGUUUUUUGGAACUUGUGUGGAGAGAGAAGAGCUUGGGGCUGGCUACUGCUCCAUUUUUCUGAUGUCCAACAUAACAGAAUUCUUUAGGAGAUCAAUUCUAGAGCAACUUUUGAAUAGAGUCCAAGUGGAGCCAAGAAUGAGCAUAUUUUCAUUGAACAUCUAGAAAGUUAAAGGGAAAAUCUCAGCAGAAACCAGAAUGGUGUUGCCUCCUCUCACAUCUUCAUCCUCUCUCCCACCUCCCAUGGAAGAAAGGAGACACAAGCACUCACGGACUCUGACCAACAGUGCUCUGCCACCUUCAACACCCUCAGUGGGUCCUGAGGUACCAGGGGAAGAGUGGCUUCUGCCAUGA